GAUGAACGCUGGCGGCGUGCCUAAUACAUGCAAGUCGAGCGAGCGGACGAGAAGCUUGCUUCUCUGAUGUUAGCGGCGGACGGGUGAGUAACACGUGGAUAACCUACCUAUAAGACUGGGAUAACUUCGGGAAACCGGAGCUAAUACCGGAUAAUAUUUUGAACCGCAUGGUUCAAAAGUGAAAGACGGUCUUGCUGUCACUUAUAGAUGGAUCCGCGCUGCAUUAGCUAGUUGGUAAGGUAACGGCUUACCAAGGCAACGAUGCAUAGCCGACCUGAGAGGGUGAUCGGCCACACUGGAACUGAGACACGGUCCAGACUCCUACGGGAGGCAGCAGUAGGGAAUCUUCCGCAACGGGCGAAAGCCUGACGGAGCAACGCCGCGUGAGUGAUGAAGGUCUUCGGAUCGUAAAACUCUGUUAUUAGGGAAGAACAUAUGUGUAAGUAACUGUGCACAUCUUGACGGUACCUAAUCAGAAAGCCACGGCUAACUACGUG
rnacentral:rRNA from 1 species